CCCCGAGCGGCUCCCCGCCGUCUGCCCGCCGCGCUCUGUUCUGGCGGGCUGGGAGCAGUCGCCAACGCUACCGGCCUCGAGGCUCCGCCCACUUAGAGCUCCCGCACCCGAGACGCCGCGCGCGGCGCUCCAGGCCUGGAAAAGCUGCCAUCUGGUAUGUGGAGGGCAUGCUCAGUGCUUUCUCACAAGAUCAACCUAUCAACCCCUUCUGCACUUAGGAUAGAUUACAACUGGAUUCCUUAAAACAGAUUCUUCUGAAGACUGAACCCAUGCAUCUGAGGACUAUGUCUGAGAAUGUGGAGUUUUAAACAAGUAACUUCCCUGCUUCUUGCUGAUGGUUUUGCUGUUUAAAAUGGCCCCCAAACACAGUGCUCAAGCACUGCCUAGUGUCCUAGGAAGGCUGUGCUGUGCCAAGGAAAUACUUGUGUGUCAGGAGGCAAGUCCCAACUCUCCUCUCCUUGGGCGUGGGCUGGUCUUUGUGCCUCCGUGAUGCAGAGUGUGGAAAGGCAAACACAAACGUUACAGCAGAGACCGGUGGCAGGUGCCGCCUCUCGUUGCCAU